ensembl:lncRNA
UGUUGCACUCUCCCAGAGAGAGCAUUCUACACUUUCAUUUUUGCACUCCUGCAGGCAGCAAUGUGUGUGUUCAUGUAGGGGAAGAUAGCAGAAGCUCUGACUUCAGCAGAAUCAAGUAGGCAUCUUCCCCAGACUGCUGUUGUGCUGAAGAAUGUGCAUCAAGCAAGAAAAACACCUCUGAGCUACUGCCACCUCCCCUGCAACCCCUCUCAAAGGCUAUGAACUGGAACAGCAUAAAGGGCACCAUUUAACAUAAGAUGUUUCAAAUGCAAAAUGUUGCUUUCUUGGAUGCUCAGUUAUUUUUUGAACAAAUAUGCUCCAAAAGAAAAGGUGCUUUCACAUUUGCUGUUCCAGAACACAGCAGAAGAAACAAACUACAGAGAGGAUG